rnacentral:rRNA from 1 species
AGAGUUUGAUCAUGGCUCAGGACGAACGCUGGCGGUGUGCUUAAUACAUGCAAGUCGAGCGAGGUUACUGUUUUGGAUCCCUUCGGGGUGAAGAAGCUUUAACCUAGCGGCGGACGGGUGAGUAACGCGUGGGUAACCUACCCCAAAGUCCGGGAUAACAGCGGGAAACCGCUGCUAAUACCGGAUGCCUUUACCUUGGGGCAUCUUGAGGUAAAGAAAGGUAACGCUUUGGGAUGGGCCCGCGUCCCAUUAGCUAGUUGGUGAGGUAACGGCUCACCAAGGCGACGAUGGGUAGCCGGCCUGAGAGGGUGGACGGCCACACUGGGACUGAGACACGGCCCAGACUCCUACGGGAGGCAGCAGUAGGGAAUAUUGCGCAAUGGACGGAAGUCUGACGCAGCGACGCCGCGUGAGCGAUGAAGGUCUUCGGAUCGUAAAGCUCUGUCCUUGGGGAAGAAGGUCUUCGGACUUGACGGUACCCAAGAAGAAAGCCCCGGCUAACUACGUGCCAGCAGCCGCGGUAAU